rnacentral:lncRNA from 1 species
UGCUGUUUUUAGUAAUGAUCACUAAACUGGAUAGAUUACUGGGAUCAAUGUUGUAAUUUGCACAUAGGAGUGCCAGGAACCUGCUAGACAUCGCCUGUGCUUUGCCCUGUAUUUGGAAGCCCAUUGGGAAAUUUGAAAAGGUCUGAGAAGAAUCAUCCUGUCUGUUAAGUGAUAAUUUGAGAAGAAAGAAACAUCCUCCUUGAAGUGCAGAGAGUUGCUUCUCUCUUGACACCUUAGAGGCAAGUCCAGGGAGCAGAAUUAAGUGACAGUAAAAGGAAAAGAUCACAUGUAUCACAGGAAUGAGAAAUCCUUAUGGCUAAGUCAGCUCUCCACAGUUAGGCUACACUUUGAUGUUGGCAAAAGUUUCCCUAGUGGGAGAGACAUAGGGAAAAGGGCAGAGGAAUAAAGAGACAGCUUCACUUACCCAGUCUAAGUAAAGAGGUGAACAGUACAUCCAUCUAAUAUUUAAUAUGGGCUUCUCUUGUGAAGAGCUGGAAAUGCAUUUAUUAAAGUCUGCAUAAGCAGUUGAGUUAUAGCCUCCAAAAUAAACUGGAAGAAAUAAAGGAAAAGAAGCUGACUUACUGAAAAGUUUAUAAGCCCUCACAGAGAGCCAAGCUGCAAACAAGAAUCCAUGCAGAGCUGAAGGGAUGUCUCCAGGGGAUUAGUUGCAGAAUUGUUUUCUC